rnacentral:lncRNA from 1 species
UAAAAUGAAGAAAUUUAACGUAAGAUUCAUAUACAGUUAUACAGAUAUGGACAGUAAUUAUAUAACAACUAAAGUCUCAUUAUCUAAUUGAGAGAUCAAAUUUUGACUAGAAAAUCCCAAAAAGAAAAAGAAACAGAAACAGAGGGGUUUACAAACCAGGGGCUUUCAAACUUUGACCAAUAUACUAUUAACCCUAUAAUCAUUGUCUAUGAUUCAUUUCAAGUUCUUAAACUUCAGUCAAUAAAUCCCAGAAUUCGAUCAUCAUCUAGACUCCAUAUCUCAGAAUCUAUACCCAAAUCAAAGAAUUUUAAAAUUUUCUCAGAAAGUGAAUCAAACCCUUUAUAACUUUACAACUUCAAACAUAAAGCUUGCUCAUAGAAUUGCAAAUAUAUAUCAUAAACAUCAAAUUAAUUUCAACAUACACACACAGCGACAUAUAUUUGUUCUACAAACCUUAAUAUCGUGACAUGAAGUUGAUGCUACUGAAGAACUUAAGCUUCGCUGAUGCUGAAGAUGACAAGCUGCUGUAAAACCCUUAUCAGGUGGCAAUGAUAUGGUCUUCCCAAACAGCUUAAUUGCAGAUUCUCUUAUCACUUCUGACAUUUUUCCUUCCCUCUCUAUAUCUAUCAAUCUGAAGGGUAAGUCUUUUUGUAGACAGCAGCACACUUUCUCUUUCUUCUGUGUUAGGAAAUUGAAGAACUUUUGAUUUCGUUGAGGUUUUGAUUCAUUUUGUUGGAGACAUAUAUUUGUUCUACAAACCUUAAUAUCGUGACAUGAAGUUGAUGCUACUGAAGAACUUAAGCUUCGCUGAUGCUGAAGAUGACAAGCUGCUGUAAAACCCUUAUCAGGUGGCAAUGAUAUAGUCUUCCCAAACAGCUUAAUUGCAGAUUCUCUUAUCACUUCUGACAUUUUUCCUUCCCUCUCUAUAUCUAUCAAUCUGAAGGGUAAGUCUUUUUGCAGACAGCAGCACACUUUCUCUUUCUUCUGUGUUAGGAA